ACGGGAGGCAGCAGUGGGGGAUAUUGCACAAUGGGCGCAAGCCUGAUGCAGCAACGCCGCGUGAGGGAAGAAGGUUUUCGGAUUGUAAACCUCUGUCCCCGGUGACGAAACAAAUGACUUUAGCCGGGGAGGAAGCCACGGCUAACUACGUGCCAGCAGCCGCGGUAAUACGUAGGUGGCAAGCGUUGUCCGGAAUUACUGGGUGUAAAGGGAGUGUAGGCGGGAAAGCAAGUCAGCGGUGAAAUACAUGGGCUUAACCCAUGGACUGCCGUUGAAACUGUUUUUCUUGAGUGAAGUAGAGGCAGGCGGAAUUCCGAGUGUAGCGGUGAAAUGCGUAGAUAUUCGGAGGAACACCAGUGGCGAAGGCGGCCUGCUGGGCUUUUACUGACGCUGAGGCUCGAAAGUGUGGGGAGCAAACAGGAUUAGAUACCCUGGUA
rnacentral:rRNA from 2 species